rnacentral:lncRNA from 1 species
UCAAUUUUUUCCUCCUCACUUUUCUUCUCUUUUCUCUGUUGUUUCUUUCAUCUCUUAUCAGACCCAAACAAAUAAAAACCCUAAUCCACAAAUUCAAAUCAAGACAUGCUUGAAACUUUUCGCCCUAAAAAACAGUUCGACCCUUACGCUCAGGCACCCAAUGACUUGCUAGCAGCCCACCAGCUCCUGCCCUCCAGCUACAAAGUAAUGAAAAGGAUGGUUAGACAAUCGAUUCAAGGAUGAAACAGAGCCAAUAAAAGAAUUGAUAAUUUUAAUUUGCUUACCUUCAAAAUUCAAAUCAAUUAUUUUUUGUGUUAGCUUGAUAUUAAUGAUUUGAGGCUAAAAUUUUGAAUUUGGGUGUGUAAAUUGAGUUAGUGGUUUUUUUUUUUUUACUAGCUUUUGAGUUUCUCUUGGGUUAAUUUUGAAUAAUAGAAAAAAAAAAUUCCUGACAUGUUUGGAUUGAAAACGUUAUUCAACCGUGAUGCCCUGUUACGAUUGAGAUUGAAAUUCUCUCCCGCCUUUUCCUCGAUAGUGGUUGCAGACGAUGACUUUAUAGCGAAAUAGCGGCCGCUAUAUUAUUACCCCACUGCUAUUUGAAACAUGGCCAAGGUCCAAAACCUAGAAUCCAUUCACAAGUCUCAUUUGAUAGAAAACUAAGUAGGAAAAUAUCAUUCCUAAUAGGCUUAACCUCAAAUUUUCCAACCUUUUCGCCAAAUUAAAAUUCUAGCUUUUAUCAUUGACUAAAGUUAAGAGGUUUCGCCCAAAACUAGAUGAGAAAACUUUUACUCUAAGAAUUUAUGCCUUCAUCGAUGACAUUUUGUGGAGUCUUAACAUAUAUUUUUUAAUUCCUUUAACAAGAGGAGGUAAUAAAUCCAAGGUAGCAAUUGAAUGUUUGUUGCUAGAUUAUGAUAAAAUAUAAUAAGAUAAUAUUAUGAAUAGG